CCUACGGGAGGCUGCAGUGAGGAAUAUUGGUCAAUGGGCGAGAGCCUGAACCAGCCAAGUCGCGUGAGGGAGUACUGCCCUAUGGGUUGUAAACCUCUUUUGUCGGGGAGCAAAAGCCGGACGUGUCCGGCUGUGAGAGUACCCGAAGAAAAAGCAUCGGCUAACUUCGUGCCAGCAGCCGCGGUAAUACGGAGGAUGCGAGCGUUAUCCGGAUUUAUUGGGUUUAAAGGGUGCGCAGGCGGAUUUUUAAGUCAGCGGUAAAAUCGUGGGGCUCAACCCCAUCCAGCCGUUGACACUGGGGAUCUAGAGUGUGCGAGAGGUAUGCAGAAUGCGUGGUGUAGCGGUGAAAUGCAUAGAUAUCACGCAGAACCCCGAUUGCGAAGGCAGCAUACCGGUGCACAACUGACGCUCAGGCACGAAAGCGUGGGUAUCGAACAGGAUUAGAUACCCGAGUAGUC
rnacentral:rRNA from 1 species